rnacentral:rRNA from 1 species
UUCCGUAGGUGAACCUGCGGAAGGAUCAUUACUGAACUAGUAAUCCCGAAAGGUUGUGGUCGGAGGCCCUAAAAAGCCGCCGGCUCUCCUCUCACACCCUUGUGUACCUACCACGUUGCUUUGGCGGGCCGACCCGGUUUCGACCCGGGCGGCCGGCGCACCCAGCCCUUCGGGGCCAGGACGCCAGGCUAAGCGCCCGCCAGUAUACAAAACUCCAGCGAUUAUCUCGUGUAGUCCUGACAAAUCAUAAAAUGAACUAAAACUUUCAACAACGGAUCUCUUGGUUCUGGCAUCGAUGAAGAACGCAGCGAAAUGCGAUAAGUAAUGUGAAUUGCAGAAUUCAGUGAAUCAUCGAAUCUUUGAACGCACAUUGCGCCCUCUGGUAUUCCGGAGGGCAUGCCUGUUCGAGCGUCAUUUCAACCCUCAAGCUCUGCUUGGUAUUGGGCGUCGUCCGCUGCCGGACGCGCCUCGAAGACCUCGGCGACGGCGUCCCAGCCUCGAGCGUAGUAGAAAUAUCUCGCUUUGGAGGAUGGGGCGACGGCCGCCGGACAACGACCUUUUUUAAUUCCAAGGUUGACCUCGGAUCAGGUAGGGAUACCCGCUGAACUUAAGCAUAUCAAUAAGCGGAGGA